rnacentral:rRNA from 1 species
AGCUCCAAUAGCGUAUAUUAAAGUUGUUGCAGUUAAAAAGCUCGUAGUUGGAUCUCGGGUUUGGGCGGGCGGUCCGCCUCGCGGCGGUUACUGCACGACCCGACCUACCUCCCGGUUUUCCCUUGGUGCUCUUGACUGAGUGCUUCGGGUGGCCGGAACGUUUACUUUGAAAAAAUUAGAGUGCUCAAAGCAGGCGCUUCGCCUGAAUAAUGGUGCAUGGAAUAAUGGAAUAGGACCUCGGUUCUAUUUUGUUGGUUUUCGGAACUCGAGGUAAUGAUUAAGAGGGACAGACGGGGGCAUUCGUAUUACGGUGUUAGAGGUGAAAUUCUUGGAUCGCCGUAAGACGAACUACUGCGAAAGCAUUUGCCAAGCAUGUUUUCA